rnacentral:rRNA from 1 species
UACGGGGGGGGCAAGCGUUGUUCGGAAUUACUGGGCGUAAAGGGCUCGUAGGCGGCCAACUAAGUCAGACGUGAAAUCCCCAGGCUCAACCUGGGAACUGCGUCUGAUACUGGAUGGCUUGAAUCCGGGAGAGGGAUGCAGAAUUCCAGGUGUAGCGGUGAAAUGCGUAGAUAUCUGGAGGAAUACCGAUGGCGAAGGCGAGCCCCUGGGUCGAACACUAGACGCUCAUGCACGAAAGCGUGGGAGCAAACGAGG